GACGAACGCUGGCGGCGUGCUUAACACAUGCAAGUCGAACGGAAAGGCCCUGCUUUUGUGGGGUGCUCGAGUGGCGAACGGGUGAGUAACACGUGUGUAACCUGCCCUUGACUUUGGGAUAACUUCAGGAAACUGGGGCUAAUAUCGGAUAGGAGCUCCUGCUGCAUGGUGGGGGUUGGAAAGUUUCGGCGGUUGGGGAUGGACUCGCGGCUUAUCGGCUUGUUGGUGGGGUAGUGGCUUACCAAGGGAUUGACGGGUAGCCGGCCUGAGAGGGUGACCGGCCACAUUGGUACUGAGAUACGGCCCAGACUCCUACGGGAGGCAGCAGUGGGGAAUAUUGCACAAUGGGCCGAAGCCUGAUGCAGCAACGCCGCGUGCGGGAUGACGGCCUUCGGGUUGUAAACCGCUUUCGCCUGUGACGAAGCGUGAGUGACGGUAAUGGGUAAAGAAGCACCGGCUAACUACGUG
rnacentral:rRNA from 1 species